UACAGAGGUCCCAAGCGUUGUUCGGAUUCAUUGGGCGUAAAGGGUGCGUAGGUGGCGCUGUAAGUCGGGUGUGAAAUUUCGGAGCUUAACUCCGAAACUGCAUUCGAUACUGCGGUGCUUGAGGACUGGAGAGGAGACUGGAAUUCAUGGUGUAGCAGUGAAAUGCGUAGAGAUCAUGAGGAAGACCAGUGGCGAAGGCGGGUCGUCUGGACAGUUCCUGACACUGAGGCACGAAGGCCAGGGAGCAAACGGG
rnacentral:rRNA from 1 species